rnacentral:rRNA from 1 species
CCCUUAGAUGUUCUGGGCUGCACGCGCGCUACACUGAUGCACUCAACGAGUUUCUGACCUUGUCCGAGAGGAUUGGGUAAUCUUUUUAAAAUGCAUCGUGAUGGGGAUAGAUUAUUGCAAUUAUUAAUCUUCAACGAGGAAUUCCUAGUAAGCGCGAGUCAUCAGCUCGUGCUGAUUACGUCCCUGCCCUUUGUACACACCGCCCGUCGCUCCUACCGAUUGAGUGGUCCGGUGAGGCUUUGGGAUCUGAGCGGAAAGAGCGUUUCGCUGUUUCUGCUCGGAAAACUCAGUCGAACCUUAUCAUUUAGAGGAAGGAGAAGUCGUAACA